UCCUGCAUAUGUUAAUCAUAUUUUCUCAGCAGACAUGUCAAGUAGCCAACGAGCAGAAAGUGGUCAUGCAUUUUUCAAGAAAUUUGUUUCGAAGAAUAAUUCAUUGGUGGAUUUUAUGAUACAGUUUGGCAGAGGACUAGUGCGCCAACGUUACGAGGAGUUGAUGGCCGAUCACAAAGACGUGGUUGAGAAACCUAAACUUAGAAUAAAUCAUGACUUUUUGGAGCAAAUGGUUGAUAUUUACACUAAUGAGAUGUAUUACAAGUUUGAGGCUGAAGUGUGUGACAGCUUUAACUACAAGUUGCAGUUUGUUAGGGAAACCGACAAUCGCCGUGUGUAUCAAAUUAAAGAAAGAAGGUUGCAACAAGCAAAGUCCGCGAAAUCGUUUACGACAAGCAGUUGGAUUUGGUUUCUUGUAGUUGUAAAAAGUUUGAAAGCGUCGGAAUCGUAUGUACUCACAUUAUCUCUUAUUUGAUGAAAUUUGAUGUUGAAAUAUUGCCCGAUAAAUACAUCUUAUUGAGGUGGAUUAAGUCUGCAAAAUCGGGGACAGUUCAUGAUAAUAAAGGCAUGCAGAUAACCCCUGAUAAUCCUUAUCUUUUAACGCGGAGUUAAUUUAUCCAAUCAUCUUUGGAUUGAGUUGACAAGUCCCUCGUAUGUGAAGAAACAAGGGAGAUGUUUACCGAUGGAUUGCGUAACAUUAAUGAGCAAAUUGAUCAAUUUCUUAGUAGCCACAUGGCUGUAAUGAGCUUCACUGAGAAAAGUAAUCCAAUAUGUAGUAAGAUAAUUACUGAGGGGGCUAGUGCUCAUGGUUCUUGUAGUUAUGAAAAUAGUUUCAAUGAACCCGAUCAAGUGCGAGCAAAAGGGUGCGACAAAAGGUUGAAAGGAGGAAAAGAGAAAGCAAUGACUAGAGCCAAAAAUAAAAAAGAUAGACGUUGUCACGGGUGUGGUAAAGUAGGCCAAUCACAUGAUAAGCGAAAUUGUCCGGCACUCACAAAUCCGUUUUCUACAUGCGGUGAUACAAAUUUGCAAGAGGGUAAUGAGUCAUCAAGUGAAGAUGUCGAUCUUUUUGAAGAUUAAGAGGGAUGUGGAAAUUACUGAAGGAUGGCUUUACUAAGGCUAACAAGAUGAGCUAUUUGUGCGUGCUCCAUGCUCUUAAAAAGCUCGGUGAUGUAGAUGGUCUAAAGAAUUGCUUUCAAGAGUGGGAAUCAACUUACGUUUCUUUUGAUGUUCCUUGAUUAUUACUUGAAGAGACAUGAGAUAGAUUUUGCUUUGAAGUACUUGAAUAUUAUUUAGAUUGACAGGGUUAUAUUUUGAUGUCGCAACUUAGAAUGACUGAUGUGUAUCAUUUUCUGAGAGCUGCUUCUUUUCCCUGUAAUGAUAUUAUGUAGUGUCUUAUUGACUCCAUCCUUGUUUCUCUGAACUAUCGUAAAUUGGUUCACUUCUGGACCAGUUCUUACUAAACAAGAUGAGUUGU